AAAAUGUGGCUAAAAUUUCGCUUCAAGUUUUUUUUUUUUGACAUUUUUAUCGUUUAAUGUUUUUCCUCUUUCUUCAACGGUGACUGCAACCGAUCCAACUGCUUCAACGUUUCAUUUUUCUCGCAAAACCAAAAUGGCCUCAGUAAUGUUCGCACAAUCAGCAAUAACAAGAGGCAGAGAUGAAGUAUAUGUAGUAGCUGUUCCUCUAAGGGCCACAAAAGGACCAGCCCAGUUGCUUAUGUAUGCUGCCUACUCUCUCAAUCUCUGGGAUUUGCAGCAUUUUAUGGUUCUCAUCAAACCCUCCUUGCCACUUCCUUCUUCUCAGGCCUUGGUUUUUGACUUCCAACCUCAAGAUCCUGAAAAUAUAUAUGUGGCUCUUGAUGUUAUAUCCGGUAGAGCAGUACCAGGAGUUAUUCUUAUGAGAAAGUUGAAAAAUCUACCAAGAAGGAAAUGCUGGUAUGUUGGAUCUUUGCCAGUGGAUGCGGUAGAUAUGGCAUGUAAUUUCAAUAAAAGCUGGGAAACUGAUUUGAGGGUCGGUCAACAUGACUGUCGAGAUUAUACCAAUGGAUUGGUCGAGUACCUCACUGGCCAAAAAGAUGUUUUGGAGUGCUUGAGAAGCAGCUAGCACUGGUGGUCUGGGGUAACCAAUCAACUCGUGAGGCUAUUUUACAACAGACAAUGUUCUAUCAUUUUCUUCAAGGGUGUAUACCGAUCAAAUGAUAUACCAUGUUCUUUCACAAGGGAAAAAAAAAGUCCCGCGCAUUGCAGUAAGAACGCAAACUCACAGGGAAAGAAGCAUCUACUUCUCCUUUUUAGAAUUUCAAGCAUCAACGGAGGUGUCAAUCCAGUAAAGGUUACCCACAUGUACAACUGCUCGAAACCACUUCGGUAUUUUCUGAAACAUAACGUCUUUAUUUUCCACUUAUUGCAUCAUAUGAGAUCAGAGAUCUGCUUUUGCACUCCCACAAGAUCUCACCGCCGGUCUUCAAGAGGCAUAAAACUCGAAUUAACAAACCUUCUUUUCGAAGUGAUCUUCAAAAUCUCAAAAUAUUGGUCCUCAUCCUUUUCAAGUCCAAUAGGCACGUAGUUUCCUAUACAGAAUUUCUUGUUCCAAGACUCACCCACACCAUACUUUUUCAGCACCCAUAUCUCUAGUAUCUCGUAGUUGCAAUAAACUGCAGCAGAAAGACAACUUCCUAUUAUAACCACCUAAUGAUAUCUAUGCAUGUUUAAAGCAAUGCGUACAAUCAAGUGUUGGACCUCUUGAAAUUGGUCGUCUGCUAAGUCAAACGAGAUGAUGCUGCACCUUGGGCUGUAUCUACGUGGUCGAGUGACCCAAUGAAGUCUUCCAUUAAUUAAGGGUACUUGUGAUGGCGGGUAAAGAUGCAUGUUAGUCUACCUUUCCCUUACUUCUCCAGGUUGAGCCCCCAAGGGUGAAAUUUUGAACCUCUCAAUUCAUAUUAGUGAGUCUAAACCCACGUUGGUAGUCUCCGUCUGCAUUCUUAUAAUACACUAUCUUAAUCUUGUAUUCCUUGGUUGUGGCAUGAAACCCGAAUCCAAAAACCAGCUCUUGAUUCAAAGACUGUAUGGAUUUAGGGAGCACUUGAUAAUUCCAGGAGAAGGUAUUGUAUGUAGAGUGCAUCACUACACAAUGGAUCAGAUAAGCUGAGCAAACCGUUACAUGAGCCUACAACAUCAAACUCAGGCAUCGUAACCGAGAAAGGCACAUGAAGCUUUUUCACCUUUUCCUUCUUGUCGAUGCAAGCAGGGAGCUCUACAAAGUAAAGCUGGUUUCUGAUUAGAUAAUCACAGUGGAAGAUGAGGCAUGGAUUGCUCUCACGCAUGCGUGUGCUGUGCAUAUUAACAAGAUCAGGAUUUUGUAAUAACAUGCGCCAACCUUUGCAUAUAGACUUGAAUUGUACUAAAAACGAAACAGGAAGCCCUGAAACUAUAUUCAGGAUGAGUUCGGGUGGGAGACUUUCCAUUCCGGCUGUUGGUGGUUCCCUUCUAGCUUGCUUCUCUUUCUUUCAAGGUCUCUUUCCAAGUCCGAGUCCAUGACAAUGUGAAGGUUUACAAUACAAAGGAAAAACAAGAGCAAAGAUCCCGAGGGAAGACAGCACCCAAAAAAGUCUGCAGUAAAAUGGCAUGAUAAGAGUUAAUAUUCGAAGAGGAGGAAACCACAAGCAAAGUAUGUAAGAGCCAAAGCUGAAAUAUUUUAUUGGAAAAAGGUUGGUGUUUGCCAUCAUUACAGUGAAAAUGAAACAAAGUUCUUUGUCAAUGAAUUGGUGGCCUUAUUGACAAUGACCCACCCGUAAUCUCAAGAGUCAAAAGUGGCGUUUGUACUCUGGUGUGGCAUCUUUCCUUGUAUAUUAUUCCGUCACAGAAAAAAAGUAUUACCUCAUAUUCACCACUUUUUAGGGGUUUAUGUAACUUUAUAGUCAGUUUCGUAUUUUGGUAUCACUGAGAAUGUUAUUGUCAUGAAACUUGAGGCUGGCUCUAGGGAUCAUUUUUCUCCAAGUUUUUUAAUAGGCAUUCUCCCAAUAGAAACGUGAAUGCCUCUUGGACCCGCUUGGGAUCACUGAGAAUCUGAGAUCAAUCGACCCUGGAAGGCUGAUCACGACAUACCUGAGAUUGCUAAAAAGUUAUUCUGCACACACAAGGGUGCAGCUCUGCUUGAAGGGAGUCUUUCCUAAACAAAAGGGUCCAGCGGUUCAUAAGACUAGCCUCGGGUUAACACGUUGGUUCUCAUGAGACGUAGGGCACGAUGGACGUCUCAAUUUCCCUAAGGAUAAAAAUCUCUUCAACAGAAGUGUACCCUUUUGGUAAAAGAUGCAAGGAGCGAAACGACGUUCACCAAGCUCCAUGGAAUUGCAAAGUUUCCUUGUAGCUCAUGUUCUCGAACCAUUCACUUAAUUGGGUAUAAAGAAGUUGACGAUUUGUAUAAAGAUUGUCCUAAAUUGAAUGGCUGAAUAUUCUCAAGCCAGAACAACAGGAGCAUUGUUUGAUCGGUCACUUCGGUGGAUCAAAGAAAAAUUAAGGCAUUUUCGUUUAUGAUUGACUGAU